UACAGAGGUCCCAAGCGUUGUUCGGAUUCACUGGGCGUAAAGGGUGCGUAGGUGGUCGGGCAAGUCUGAUGUGAAAUCUCCGAGCUUAACUCGGAAACUGCAUCGGAUACUAUUUGGCUAGAGGGUUGGAGGGGGGACUGGAAUACUUGGUGUAGCAUUGCAAUGCGUAGAUAUCAAGUGGAACACCAGUGGCGAAGGCGAGUCCCUGGACUACUCCUGACACUGAGGCACGAAAGCUAGGGGAGCAAACAGG
rnacentral:rRNA from 1 species